AUUGCAUACACGUGAAUGUACGGGUGAAAAUACAGGUGAAUGUACAGGUGAAUGUACGGGUGAAUGUACAGGACAAUAUGCAGGUGAAUGUACUGGUGAAUGUAUGGGUGAAUGUAUGGGUGAAUAUGUGGGUGAAUGUGCGGGUGAAUGUACGGGUGAAUGUACGGGUGAAUGUGUUCUUUCCG